CAGUGUCCAGUGUGGCCUUUCUGACGAUGAAAUCAUUAAUAUCCUCUUUGACAGCGAUGAUGACGGGACGUCUGGUGCCACACUGGUACGGUCUCUCGCCUGUAUGGACCCUUCUGUGAAUCAUGAGGACAUGACUUCUGGCGAACGCCUUCUGGCAAACGUCACAACGGAAUGGUUUCUCCCCCGUGUGAGUCCUCAUGUGAAUCUGUAAGUCACCGCGUACAGGAAAUGCUUUCUCGCAGACAGAGCAGUGGAAAGGCUUCUCUCCUGUGUGUCUUCUUUCGUGCCUGGUGACAUCCGAAAGAUAAUGAGUGAAGUAAGGGCAGAACUCGCAGUGGUACAUGCCCUCAUGCCGUGGCCGCAUCGUGGGUUGCGGCUCAACCAGUCUGCCUCUUAAGGAAGAGGAGUCGGUCUCGCUGUCCCCAUCGUCCCAGAGGGCAGCUUCGGCCAGCCCUGUUGAAGAGAUCAGAGAAAUGAGACAAGGAAGGUAUAAGACAACGAAAGUCUAAUGCCAAGGUGCAAACAUUAGACAAGCUUGACAAGUCUGCACUGCCUUCAGCAGAAAGUAUUGCACACAAUACAAGCGGUUUGACUCCUGUUCAUAUAAGGAAGAGAACAAGGCAAAAAAACAAUUAAAGUAUUAGGAAAUUUUGUUAUUAAGGUCAUAUAAUCACACUUUAAGUUAAUAAAAAAUUUAUGAGCAUUGCCAAUUCAUG